UAAAAUCAUCUCUAAAAUGGUUAUUACCAUGAAAACUUUAGUAAUGUUUGUUUUCACUACUUUUUUCAUUAUAUCUUUUGCUGAUUCACUUUAUUGUCCAUAUCCUCCAACUGCGGCUACCAUUCCUGCUGAUUUUCCAGGUUACGGACCUAUAGUAUGCUUCAGACUCACUAAGCCGUGUUUAUCUGGAGGAUUGGGAGAGUGCCAAAAGCUUUGUGACGAGCGGGGUAAUGUUGUACAUCAGUGUAGUCAGGAUGAAUGUUAUUGUGAAAAAUUAAGUAUGCCUCGAACAUAAAAUAAACAUCAAUAUCUUUUAUGCAUUUUUACCAAUAGAUGAUAAGAAUAAAAUAAAUAAAUUUAAUCAAA